CUCAAUACGUCCACCCCGGUGUCUCUACUCGUUGAGAGAGCUUCUCAAAUUGCCUGGAUGCUUGAAAUUACAGACAGCAGAAACAGCAACCAGAAUAACAGCAACAAUAAUACUCCCACUAUGAUACGACCCAUCUUUUCGACAAUGCUGUUUGAUACCUAAGGCAGAGAGAGUAUAGCGCAGGUCGAAAGUAAAAUAACAGUGGUGUCCUCGAUCGCUUCCAAGGCAUGACUGAGGAGCUUUUUGCAGGUGCCUUUUGGUACUUACUGGCGACAAAAACAUUCUUUCUAUGAAUAGGAUCAGCCAUAUUAUCACUAAUGUCUCCCUUUAUGUCUAUUUCAAGAAUCACAGUCAGUGCUUUUACUCUACCAGGGUAACUCAAAGCCUCAGAGUUCUCAUUCCUCACAGUGUCACAGACCCUUUUCAGAUCAACAACGAGAAAGGAAACAGGUUUUUCAUUCAAGGAACCCUCAUCGUCAGGAUGCACAUCAAUGGUCUUGGUCAAUUGGUGCUGUAUAUAUGCAAGGGCAGUUGUAAAUCAUAGACCAUUUGGUUCAUUGCUUAGUAGGUCAUUAUUGUGGUCCAUUGUUCUGUUCCUUUUGGGGUACAUUGGUUGAUGCCAAGAAGGUGAUAGAUGUCUAUUCUUGCUAGAAAGAAAUGAAAUCAAUGAGGGAAUUUGACAGUACCAGUUCACUCCUAACAACUUAUUUGCCCAAGUACGCAUUAGGUUGGAUUUUUAAUGUGGGCCCUUUUCCAAGAUGAUUGAGGGAGCUAGGCAUCAUGCUUGUUUCAAAACCAAGGAAGGGCUGCAGGAUCUUCAUGGAUUGCAGCAUUCCUUAUGCAGCUUGUUGCAUUGUUGGUCUGUUGAUACCUAAAGUGUUAAAGAGGUUGCUCCAUUUGUAGAUUCACCUAUUUUUCUGUCUUGUGGGUUUCUGGAAGAAUCAUAAUCAUCAGAUUGUGCUCCGAAUUGGUUGUUGAGGUUUGGUACUCCAAAUGUGGCCCAGAUUAAUGCACCAUGGUUUGGAUUAAUAUUCAAUGAAAGCUAAAGCAAGUUGUUUGACUUGUCUUUUGCCAGACUGCUAUGAUAGUUGGGUUGUGCUUCUCCUCAGUCUUUGGGAAAUCAAGACCAUCUGUCACAAAUUUUUACUA